rnacentral:rRNA from 1 species
UGUCUCAAGACUAAGCCAUGCAUGUCUAAGUAUAAACGCUUCUAUACUGUGAAACUGCGAAUGGCUCAUUAAAUCAGUUAUAGUUUAUUUGAUGGUUUCUUACUACUUGGAUAACCGUGGUAAUUCUAGAGCUAAUACAUGCACAAAGUCCCGACUCUUCGGAAGGGAUGUAUUUAUUAGAUCCAAAACCAAUGCGAGUCUCUCGGGGCUCGGUUYCUUGGUGAUUCAUGAUAACUGCUCGAACCGUAUGGCCCUUGCGCCGACGGUGCUUCAUUCAAAUUUCUGCCCUAUCAACUUUCGAUGGUACGGUAGUGGCCUACCAUGGUUGCAACGGGUGACGGAGAAUUAGGGUUCGAUUCCGGAGAGGGAGCCUGAGAAACGGCUACCACAUCCAAGGAAGGCAGCAGGCGCGCAAAUUACCCAAUCCCGACUCGGGGAGGUAGUGACAAUAAAUAACAAUGCCGGGCUAUUGUAGUCUGGCAAUUGGAAUGAGUACAAUCUAAAUCCCUUAACGAGGAACAAUUGGAGGGCAAGUCUGGUGCCAGCAGCCGCGGUAAUUCCAGCUCCAAUAGCGUAUAUUAAAGUUGUUGCAGUUAAAAAGCUCGUAGUUGGAUUUCGGGGUGGCCUGCCUGGUCCACCGCAAGGUGAGUACUGGUCAGCCGCCCUUCCUCUCGAAAGCCCCGACUGCUCUUCACUGCAGUGGUCGGGUAGUUCGGGACGUUUACUUUGAAAAAAUUAGAGUGUUCAAGGCAGGCUAUCGCCUGAAUACAUUAGCAUGGAAUAAUGGAAGAGGACCUCGGUCCUAUUUUGUUGGUUUCUAGGGCCGAAGUAAUGAUUAAGAGGGACAGUUGGGGGCAUUCGUAUUUAAUUGUCAGAGGUGAAAUUCUUGGAUUUAUGAAAGACGAACUAGUGCGAAAGCAUUUGCCAAGGAUGUUUUCAUUAAUCAAGAACGAAAGUUAGGG